GACGAACGCUGGCGGCGUGCCUAAUACAUGCAAGUAGAACGCUGAAGAGAGGAGCUUGCUCUUCUUGGAUGAGUUGCGAACGGGUGAGUAACGCGUAGGUAACCUGCCUUGUAGCGGGGGAUAACUAUUGGAAACGAUAGCUAAUACCGCAUAACAAUGGAUGACACAUGUCAUUUAUUUGAAAGGGGCAAUUGCUCCACUACAAGAUGGACCUGCGUUGUAUUAGCUAGUAGGUGAGGUAAUGGCUCACCUAGGCGACGAUACAUAGCCGACCUGAGAGGGUGAUCGGCCACACUGGGACUGAGACACGGCCCAGACUCCUACGGGAGGCAGCAGUAGGGAAUCUUCGGCAAUGGGGGCAACCCUGACCGAGCAACGCCGCGUGAGUGAAGAAGGUUUUCGGAUCGUAAAGCUCUGUUGUAAGUCAAGAACGGGUGUGAGAGUGGAAAGUUCACACUGUGACGGUAGCUUACCAGAAAGGGACGGCUAACUACGUGCCAACAGCCGCGGUAAUACGUAGGUCCCGAGCGUUGUCCGGAUUUAUUGGGCGUAAAGCGAGCGCAGGCGGUUUGAUAAGUCUGAAGUUAAAGGCUGUGGCUCAACCAUAGUUCGCUUUGGAAACUGUCAAACUUGAGUGCAGAAGGGGAGAGUGGAAUUCCAUGUGUAGCGGUGAAAUGCGUAGAUAUAUGGAGGAACACCGGUGGCGAAAGCGGCUCUCUGGUCUGUAACUGACGCUGAGGCUCGAAAGCGUGGGGAGCGAACAGGAUUAGAUACCCUGGUAGUCCACGCCGUAAACGAUGAGUGCUAGGUGUUGGAUCCUUUCCGGGAUUCAGUGCCGCAGCUAACGCAUUAAGCACUCCGCCUGGGGAGUACGACCGCAAGGUUGAAACUCAAAGGAAUUGACGGGGGCCCGCACAAGCGGUGGAGCAUGUGGUUUAAUUCGAAGCAACGCGAAGAACCUUACCAGGUCUUGACAUCCCGAUGCUAUUUCUAGAGAUAGAAAGUUACUUCGGUACAUCGGUGACAGGUGGUGCAUGGUUGUCGUCAGCUCGUGUCGUGAGAUGUUGGGUUAAGUCCCGCAACGAGCGCAACCCCUAUUGUUAGUUGCCAUCAUUCAGUUGGGCACUCUAGCGAGACUGCCGGUAAUAAACCGGAGGAAGGUGGGGAUGACGUCAAAUCAUCAUGCCCCUUAUGACCUGGGCUACACACGUGCUACAAUGGUUGGUACAACGAGUUGCGAGUCGGUGACGGCGAGCUAAUCUCUUAAAGCCAAUCUCAGUUCGGAUUGUAGGCUGCAACUCGCCUACAUGAAGUCGGAAUCGCUAGUAAUCGCGGAUCAGCACGCCGCGGUGAAUACGUUCCCGGGCCU
rnacentral:rRNA from 1 species